UGGGGAAUCAUGGUCAAUGGGUGAAAGCCUGAACCUGCGACGCCGCGUGAGUGAUGAAGGUCGUAAGAUCGUAAAACUCUUUUCAGGGAUCUUAAAGCCUGUCUGUCAACAACAGGCAGGUCUGACUCUCCCUGGAAGAAGCCCCAGCCAACUACGUGCCAGCAGCUGCGGUACUACGUAGGGGGCGAGCGUUAUUCGGACUUACUGGGUGUAAAGGGUAUGUAGGCGGCCCUUCAAGUCGCGUGUCAAAGUCCAGUGCUCAGCGCGGGGUGUGCACGCGAUACUGACGGGCUUGAGGGCUGGAGAGGUGAGCGGAAUUCCCGGUGUAGUGGUAAAAUACGUAGAGAUCGGGAGGAACACCAGCGGCGCAGGCGGCUCACUAGACAGUUUCUGACGCUAAGAUACGAAAGCGUGGGGAGCAAACA
rnacentral:rRNA from 1 species